UGUACAUACGGCGAGCUAAUUGAGCUGCCAAAGCUGUUGGAGCGAUUAGGCGAGAGUUUUGCGCCUUAUAAGCCGGGAGAAAGAGAUGAUGCCACUGAACCGAGUGUCCCAUCGAGAAUGGAAAGGAUAGCAUGCACAGAAAGAAGAUCAGGAAAGUUCAGUUACAUUGCUUUCUUUCAACUCUCCGCCGCUGCCUUAAGUAGUGCACGUUGCUAAAAUGUCAUAUACUGCUCACGCGCGCUUCUACCUUAAGUAAUGCACAUAGCCAAAAUGUCAUACUGGUGUUCACGCUUCAACUCUUUUUGUUGCAAAACGCCAAGAUACAUGGUCUCGCUGGCGCCCUGAUUACCUGCUCGAGUGUUUACAUAUAUAAACACUUUCAGACGUGCGUUUCUGGGCUUCAUAGUGGACGACGAUCUCUCCAAUUCAAGAAAUAUUUAGCUUGACGUUGGCCCUGUAGUAACAUCUUUUGUCUAGGAAAAAUCACAUGUGAAAUGCUUGCUUUUAUGUUUUAUUUUGGUCAGCUCUUAACCUAAGGAAUUAAUCUUUUCUUCUACAUUUGUUUUUUGCCUUAUUUAUCUUUUUUAUUCUUCACAUUUUCUGUUUGAAUUGAACGGAAGUGUUUUUUUUUCCCUUUAAUCUACUUUCUUGUUCACACGAUCUCAAAAGGCUAAAGUGAUUUAUUUUUUACCGGAUAUUGUACCUACCGAUGAAGAGUUCUUUGAGAUUCCCAUAUGCAAUCCUGACUUUUCAUUGCUAAAUUCUUCAGCGGUAUAUGUACCGAGUCCGGUAAUAACCAUUUUUGGCUUAAAAAGGCCCCGUCCAGUUCCACACACACACACUCGCACUUUUCCCGUAUCUACUGUUUUACCUUCCUUUUCCGGCCGAGUAUAGCAAACGCUGUCCAAGUCGUACUACAGUAAGUUCACAUGGACCAUAUAUGUAUACUGCCAUACUCGCACAGUGGUAAGUUCUAUCUAGAGAAAUAGCCGGAAAUGCGUGUGACCACUGAUCGACCAGGACGUA
rnacentral:lncRNA from 1 species